rnacentral:rRNA from 1 species
GACGAACGCUGGCGGCGUGCUUAACACAUGCAAGUCGAGCGGUAAGGCCCUUUCGGGGGUACGACGAGCGGCGAACGGGUGAGUAACACGUGGGUGACCUGCCCUCAGCUCUGGGAUAAGCCUGGGAAACCGGGUCUAAUACUGGAUAUGACUCCAUGACGCAUGUUGUGGGGUGGAAAGCCUUGUGCGGCUGAGGAUGGGCCCGCGGCCUAUCAGCUUGUUGGUGGGGUGAUGGCCCACCAAGGCGACGACGGGUAGCCGGCCUGAGA